rnacentral:misc_RNA from 1 species
AAAAUGCGAUAAGUAGUGUAAAUUGCAGAAUUUAGUAAAUUAUCAAAUCUUUAAACGCACAUUGCGCCCCUUAGUAUUCCAUAAGGCAUGCCUGUUCAAGCGUCAUUUGUACCUUCAAGCUCUACUUAGUGUUAGGUGUUUAUCUCGCUUUAUGCGCAGACUCGCCUUAAAGAUAUUAGUAGCUAGCAUUAUGGCCUAGAGCGCAGCAUAAUUUGCGCCUCUUGUUACAAAUGUUAGCAUCUAUAAAGCUUACAAUUUAACUCUUAACCUUAGAUUAGGUAGGGAUACCCGCUAAACUUAA